CUGUUGGUUAUGUGUGCCCAAGCAUUGAGGCAGUCAAAGUAGGCAAAUCCGCUUUGAUAAUGCUGGGAUGUGAUGGGGAGCGAAAUUUAGUAGCGAAGUAGCUGAUUUCACACUGUCAAGAAAAGUCUCUAUCGAGGUUAAAGGUACCCGUACCGCAAACCGACACAGGGGGGUGAGGAGAGUAUCCUAAGGCCAGCGAGAGAACUGUUGUUAAGGAACUCGGCAAAAUGACCCCGUAACUUAGGGAUAAGGGGUGCCACCAUCAGGUGGCCGCAGAGAAUAGGCCCAAGCGACUGUUUACCAAAAACAUAGGUUUCUGCUAAGUCGCAAGACGAUGUAUAGGAGCUGACGCCUGCCCGGUGCUGG
rnacentral:rRNA from 1 species